UGAAUGUUCUCGAUCAAGGUGCUGAGGUUGUCGGCUGUGUUUUUGUACCGGCCUGCUCUCGCAGAUAUCAGAAAGAGCUGCUUCAAAAGCUCCGUCGCUAUCUCACCGGCGAAAUAAUCAGUGACGGCCAUUUAGUAAAGGAUAUGUUAAAGAGAAAAAGUGUGGAGAUAGAGAGCUGAGAGACAAGGGGAUAUGAACUAAUUAAUCUGUAUAGAGGAGGAAUUCACCGGUGGAAGUUUCCUAGCAACUCGAAGUGACAAGU